CGGAAGACCCACACCAGCCAUCGUAUGCCGGCCGUGAAAGCCUUCGACAAUACAUUCAGCGUAUCAAAGGUUUCAUCCGAGUUGUUGAACUGGGGAUAAGUCCACUUAAGGCAGACGUUUCAUCUUCAUAGCUGUGACUCAUGGAGAUAAUAGACAAUCAGCUGCAUCUCGUUCCUAGCCAGAAUUGCAAUGAGAGCUCAGUGGUCAAGUCUAAGAGAAGAAGAUGCACUUCAUGCACAUUCAUAGGCCAACAUCAUGCUUCUGCUGCUUCUGCUGCUUACCCCCAAGUUCAAUUACGAUGACACUAUUUUUUAUUUUUUAUUAUUUAUCUGUUUUUGCUUUCAUUUUCUCAUUUCUGGUCAUGCUGUGAAAUCAGUAUUUAUGAAUUUCAGGAUUUUAGCCUUUAGAAUCUUGUUCUACUUCAGUUGUAUUUACCUCAGGGAGGAGAAAGUGGGAUCUUCUAAAAAUGUUUUUGUGAUUAAUUCUCAACUUCACUUUGCUGUCAGUUCUAAACUGGCUACCUUUCUCGCUGACAAUCAAUUGGCAUACAGUGAAGCAAAAAAACGGGUCAAAAGGAUUUGUGAAGUAAUGGACCUAAUUUCUUAAGACAUUAUUGACUUGGGAUUUCAUUCAUGGCAUUUUGUUUGCCGCUACCAUUUAUGCCCAGUAAUUAGUUGGGGUACAACUGAUACUGAUCAUGUUAAAUGGACGCAAGAGAAAUACAAAUCUGCUCAUCCAGAAUCUUUGAAAGCACAUUCUGGAAACUUUCUUCAUAUCCUCUCCCUUACAAAUUAGGUGACUUCAUUGGAGAGGUCUAGGAAGUGCCCCACUUAGGGGAAACAAAGAAGAACCUCCUCCACUUGAGAACUCGGUCCACGGAUCCACCAUGAUUUUGUGCUUUUUUAAAAAAAUCACUGCAACAGUUAAUUGGGGGAGGGGUGUGAUUUUAAUUCAAACAGCAUUUUAUUAGGAAUCUUGCCCCUCCCUCUUGUAUAUUUUUAUUUGUGGUAUUUUGAUAUCAGCUUUGAAGCUGAUCCUCACAAGUGGUUCAUGUCAUAUAAGCGUAAAAUAUAAAAUCACAUCAUUUGCUAAAAAAAAAAAAGCCAACCAUCAUAAAAGACAGCAGUGGGAAUCCAUCGCCAUAAAAUAGCAGUAAAACAGAAGAGCUAUAAAUAACCACGUUGAGCCCAAUAUACUGUCAUUACAACAAAGAGAAACAAUUCAGCAGCACCGUUUUUUGCCCUCUCCCAGCUUCACUAAGGGACUUGUGUUUCUUUUGGAACAAAUGAAAAAUUGGACCAGAUGGAGCCCAUUUGGUACAAUUUUCAUUUGUUCCAAAAUGAACACCAUGAGUAAUGAAUGGCUAUGAAACCAUAUGUGGUUUGUUACUCAGAUUCAAGCUCAUUCUUUACUCAUUCCUAGGGGUGGAUGGGAAAUCAUCUUUUCCUCUGUGAUGGAGGAGCUGAGUUAGGAGCUCUUCCUAGAAGGUAUUGUGCUAUUUCCUCAAAAAGCCGCAGCCCAGUGCAUUGUGGGGGGAAAUAAUUUCUCCCAGAAUGCCCUACUAAUGAACAUGAUUGUCAGUAACAAACUGCAGAUGCUUGUAAUGCAUAAAUGACAGCAUGGAUAUGAUUAGCUUGUUUCUUUCUUUAUUACAUUGUUUAUGAACUGUCAUUCAGGACAAGAGAUGCCUAUAGUCAAGAAUGAAAAAGACAACACCAGGCAUGGUAUGAAAAUACCUGAAUACCUGUGUGCAUAUAUUUAUGUACACAAGACUUUCUAUAUAUCUGUGGGUAUGUGUGUUUGUAUAUACUUUAAAAAGAGACAGAGAGAAUAAUAAAAUGCAAGAAGUAUUAAAUAUCAAAAUAUGAAAAUAUGUGAUAAUGGGUGAAAAAUGCCUCUUUUUUACUACCGUGAGCAGUAGUGAGUCUGCGCAGCCAUCAUUACAUGCCAUACAAUGGCAAUCUGUUGCAAGGAGGCAACCAAGUUAAUUGGUUAAAGCAAAACCAAACCAAACCAAAAGGUCUUGUGGCACAGGGGUGGGCGAUAGGUACCAAGGACCUGCAACACUUCCAGAUGGUCCCCACUGAAUCCACAAAAUAGUCCAGAUUUCACAGGAGAGGCACAUGUCAUGAGAUUGGGUUGUUUUUGCAUAUCUCACAACAUUUUUGCAGGGCUUCCAGUAAGAAUGCUGAAUUCUUGCAAGUUUUGAUAAGAAGUGGCUUCAUUUGUUUGUUUGUUUUAAGCCUGGUGCCAGAAAACAUUGCUGAUCCUUAGAAAUGAAGCUUCAGUAAAGAAAAUGUAUUUUCUUAGCAGCAUGAUGUGAGUCAAUUCACCUCCAUAGUCUGA